UACAGAGGUCUCAAGCGUUGUUCGGAUUCAUUGGGCGUAAAGGGCGCGUAGGCGGCGGGGUAAGUCGGGUGUGAAAUCUCUGAGCUCAACUCUGAAACUGCACUCGAUACUGCUCUGCUUGAGGACUGGAGAGGAGACUGGAAUUCACGGUGUAGCAGUGAAAUGCGUAGAUAUCGUGAGGAAGACCAGUGGCGAAGGCGGGUCUCUGGACAGUUCCUGACGCUGAGGCGCGAAGGCCAGGGGAGCAAACGGG
rnacentral:rRNA from 1 species